CAGCAUGUGGAAGUUCCCAGGCUAGGGAUGGAAUUGGAGCUACAGCUGCCAGCCUAGCCCACAGCCACAGCAAUGAGAAUAGGGAAUUUUCAGGUCCUGGGUACUCUGAGUAGGAUGGCACAGACUCGCGGUGGACACAUCUCUGUUGGUCCUGCAGAUUCUUUGCCUUGAGGGGAGGGGACCCCUGGAGGGGUCUAGGACAGGGCCCUCUUGCCUGGUGUAAGAAUGAUGCAGAGUGGUGAGGAGCUCCCAGUGGCUGGAACGUUGUCACAUCAGCUGAUUCCGUGAUGAGAAAUGACAGAAACAGUGGCCCUGAAUUCUUACCUUUGGUCUUUAUGAGCAGAAACAUCAGAGGAGACCUGGGAAAUGGACCACCGCUCUCUUUAAUCGCCACAUUCACACAGGAGCUGGUCACAUCUGAGUCAAUGUGUGGGACCUGGCCUUUCCACCCAGUAAAAGUGAGAAGCUAGAAAUUAAUAGGACCUAAGCUAUACACUUCUCAGGUUGUCAGAGUUCGGGGGAGAGACAAGCCACUUGGGAACGAGUCGGUUUCUUUCUGGAAACCACCCCAUUGCUCCGGGGAUGUAAGUCUUUCUAAGUAGAGAUGUCAUUUCCUUGUUUUUUCAUAGAACGGUCAAAACUUGCGUAAAGUAAGGGAUGAUCCAGACUUUUAGGACUCUGAUAUUGUACAGCAGGGGGCGCAGAAGAGCUUAAAAAAACCUUUCUGAGGCUCCUCUACACACUUCAAUCCUAACUCCCUGGUCCCAGUUAAAGGCUCCCUCAGGUCUGACCCUUUUGAGUAGAUGACUAAGUUUCAUAUUUCAAUUUGCUUAUAGGAAAAAACAACACACACACACACAUACUGCCAUUUCCUGACUGCAAGCACAAGUAUGAAGCCUUCCAUUUGCCUCGGGCCCCACAAGACCGUAUUUUCAACCCCUCCCCCAGGUAAAAAGAGCCUUUUAGAUCAUCCUUGAAAUGUGACCCAAUUUGUACUCUCCUCAUUUCUUUCCCUUCAUAGUGUUUUUAGAAUUUCUUCCUCUGUCCCAAAUUCCUGAAGGGUAACCCCAGGAACUCUCUGGUUCUACUGUGAAUAAUGCCGUGCUCUUUAUCAUCACAGCUUUGCGGGGUGAACCUGUGCUCUGUUCUUGGGCUCCAGACCGUUUGCCUUUCCCAGUGGGUUCUGGAACUCAAUUGCCUGGGAUUAACUCUGUUUCUCCUGCUGGUAAACCGUAUGAACUUGAGUACCUUAUCUAACUUACCCAUAAGUGGAGUCUAUUCCUCCACCCUCUUGGAUCUGGGCUGAGCUGUGACUGCUUCGAGAUUCCACCUCACCACCGACUACGACUGCAUGAGAGGCCCCCUCAGCUGACCCCAGUCAAACCACAGAACAUAUGAAAUAAUAAUAAAUAUUUCUUUUUGUCUUUUUUAGGGCCGCACCUGCGGCAUCUGGAGGUUCCCAGGUAAGGGGUUGAAUUGGAGCUACAGCUGCCGGCCUACGCCACAGCCACAGCAACACAGGAUCCGAGUCUUGUCUGCAACCUACACCACAGCUCAUGGCAAAACCAGAUCCUUAACCCACUGAGCAAGGCCAGGGGUGGAACCGUCAUCCUCACGGAUACUAGUCAGAUUUGUUAACUCCUGAGCCACGAUGGGAACUCCGUAUAAAUGGUUGUUUUUUUUUUAAAUUGAAGUAUAGUCAAUUUGCAAUACUGCAUUAGUUUCAGGUUAUAGCAAAGUUUUUGAUAUAUAUAUAUAUAUACACACAUAUGUAUUUCAAAUUAUUUUCCAUUAUAGGUUAUUACAAGAUACUGAAUAUUGUUCCCUGUGUUACACAGUAAAUCCUUGCUGCUUAUCUGCCUUAUGUAUAGUAGUCUCUGUUAGUCCCAUACUCCUAAUUUAUCCCUUCCCUUUUCCCUUUGGUAACCAUAAGUUUGUUUUCUAUAUCUGUGAGUCUGUUUUUGUCUUGUCUAUAGAUUUAUUUGUAUCAUUUUUUUAGACUCCACGUAUAAGUGAUAUACGAUGGUUGUCUUUGUCUGGCUUACCUCACUUGUAUGACAAUCUUUAGGUUUAUCCAUGUUGCUGCUAAUGGCAUUCUUUCAUUCUUUCUUAUGGCUGAGUAAUAUUUCACACCCCACAUCUUCCUUAUUUAUUCAUCUGUUGAUGGUCAUUUGGGUUGUUUCCAUGUCUUGGCCAUAAUAAAUGCUUGUAUUAAGUCACUAAGGUUUGUGGCACUGUGCAGCAAAAGAUAACCACACUGAACUGGGGAUGACAAUACUUACGUCUACCUCACAGGAUAGAUUUGAGGAUUAAAUGAGUUAAGAUUUGUUAGAGGCUUAGAAUAGUGCCUGGCAACACUAACUGCCAUAUAAAAACACACUGAAUGAAAAGUGAAUGGCCUGGGACCCUGAGGGUAUUAGAGUCUUAAACUAAUAAACACUCAUUUUGAGGAAAGCACAAUAGUUACUAUCCCUGUCCCAGGUCUUCUAAAAAGUACCUUAGUCAGUGUAAAGUCAGUUGUUGAUCACAAAAACAGUAUUUUAAAAACCCAAAGGCUCAGUGUUGGUCCCGUCUCUCUGAAUCUGGGGAAGGGCCUAGCCUUCCUCAUGGCUCCAUAUCCACAGCUUUCAAAUAAAAAGUCACUGCCCCCACAACAGAGCUGCUGUCAGGGACAAGGAUGAAAGUGGUUAUGAAAGGGCUUUGAAGAACAUAGAUCCUUUAGCCUUUCCUGAGACACCUCAUGUCUGACCCUCCGUUGGUGUCUAUCAGACACUGAGGUCUGUGCUUCCUUAAAUUAAACCCAGGGCCCAUAGCUCUCGGCUACAACCAGUCUCUCACCAAUACCAGAUCCAUACCUGAAGCCAGUCCCCUCUUCUGAAUUUCUGAUCCGUGUAUCUAGUUGUCUGCUGGCAACUCCAUCCUUCCAAUCGCUCAGGCCCAAAGCUUGGACUCAUCCUUCAUUCUUCUGUUUUCCUCACCUCCCGGGGCCUAAACCAUCUGCAAAUCCUAUCAGAUCUAUUUUCAAAGUACACCAGUAUGUCAGCUGGACCAUAGGGGCCUCCUGGUGGAAGAACAUAACCUAACCUAGGAAGUUGUCUUGCUACUUUCUAGACUGUAAGAAACUCUUCAGGACCUAAUGUCUUCAAAAAUAAGCUGCAAAGAGGAAAAAAAAAAAAAAAGAGGGAGNAGAGAGAGAGAGAGAUGAGGGAAUCUAUAGAUUAAAAGACACGUAGCUGUAUCAGCCAAUUGUUGUAUGCGACCUUAUUUGGAUUCAGAUUCAAACUGUAAAAAAGAUUAUGACAAUUAUAAGACAAUCAGAAAUUUUAAUGGAUGUAUUUGAUACUAUUAAGGAAUAUUAGUUUUAUAGGUGUGAUAAUGGUAUGAUAAUAAAAAAAUGCUUAUCUUUUUAAAAAAUACAUUCUGAAAUAUUUACAGAUGGCAUGGUAUGAUUUCUGGGAUCAGCUUCAAAAUAAUACAGUACAGAGGGGAAGGAGGUGAAGGUCCAGAUAAAACAAAAUUGUUGCACAGCAGAAAUUAACACUAUAAAUCAACUAUACUUCAAUAAAAUAAAAAAAAAGUUAAAACAAACACAAAAACCCCAAAUUGGCUACGAACGGUGGAUUGUUGAAGUUGCAUAAUGGACAGGUAUACUGGGGUCCACCAUACUACUUUUUUCUUAAUUUUAUUGGCGUAUAGUUGACUUACAACAGUGUAUCAGUUUCAGGUGUACAGCAAAAUGAAUUAGGAAUACAUACUCUACCUUUGCAUGUGUGAAAAUUUUAAUGAAGGUUAAAAAAUAUUUAUCUGGAAUGUGACCUAGUCUUACUGUUUUUAUUAUGCCCACUCUUGUCCAAGCCACUGUCGUCUCUCACCUGUAGUGCCACAGCCCCUCUCUGAUCUCCCCACUGCCACCCUUGCCUCGUGCUGCAGUCUCUUCACCACGCUGCAGUGAGAGUGAUCCUUUAAACUCAUCUAGCGGUUUCCUCUCUGCUUAAGCCCUGCAAUGGAUUUUCAUCUUGCUUGGACCUGUGCUACAUCUCUCUGAUAGCAUCUCCUAACUCUCAGUCCCUCAUGGGCUCCCCUCACUCAGCCAUAGCCCUUCUGCUCUCAGGGUAAAGGUUCAAACUCUUUGGCCAGGCACAUGAAGCCCUGGUGAUGUGUCCUUAGCACACCUCUCCUGACUCACCACCCCAAACCCCAAACCUACACUCACUCAUGGCUUCUUUAUUUUAGACACUGCUACUUCGACCUGCCCCCACAGGGAAGGCCAGGCUCUGCCAGCACUAGCUCAGUGCCAACUCUCUCCACUUUGGUUCUGAGCCCCUAGGAGUUUGGGACUUAUUUUGAAACUGUCUAUUGCUUCCUUCCCUGGACUCAAGUUCCCUGAAGUCAAAGGUGACCUCUUAUAUCUCUCCAGCCAUAGCCUUGACAAAUGCCCAACACUCAAAAUUAAGCAUAUUUUCAAUAAAUGAAUUAAAAUUCUAAGUUAGCAUUGUUACUAAAUUUUAAAUCUCUGUAAAGUGUAACAUAAUGAAAAUACCCCUAUAAUUACACAGAAGUCAUCACUUUAAAAAUUAUUGAAAAAGAUGCUUUCGACUUAGUAAAAUAUUCUAAAUCAAAUUACUUGCUAUCUUAGAUACCAAGAACGAAGUAAUAAAAAUGUAAUCCCAUUUCUGUUAUAACCAGGUCUUCCAUUAGUUGCCUAAAUUUGGAGCAUUUAGUUUUAAAAAUAGCACACCAAGUCAACUUGCCUGGUCCCCCAUCAUCUUGCUUGAAGAAUCAGGAUCCAGGGUGCAAACUAGGGAGAAAGGAAGGGGCAAAAAGGGGUUAGAUUAAUAGACGGUAAGGAUGGGGGUGGUGGUGAGAAAUUCUCAGAUACAGAGGAACUUGAAAUGGAAAAAUUGUUGCCCCUGCAAAGAGGAACCAAUGCAGACAGGGGGCGGGGAACCAAAUCGAUCAACAAGGGAUGAGAAAAGAGGAAGGUCAGCGAUAGGAAUGAAAAGACCUGACGUCAUUAAAAGAAUAGGUACAAGCAGGGCUGCUCUGCAUGAUUUUUGUCUUCCAUCCAGCUAGUGUCUCAAUUGUUACAAAUUCUUUCUGUUGUCUUGAUAAUUAGUUUUGGCAUAUAGCAGUUUGGGAGAAUUUGGUUUGGGGUGCCCUUCAAAAUAAAAUUGAUGCUAUGGGCCAGCCAUGCGGACUGGAAAUCUGAGUUGUUUUCCCUGCACUGGUGAUGGAUUGAGCUGCUUGAGCCACCAGCCCUCCCUUUCACACUACCCUUUGUGACCAACUCUAUGGUCUGGGAUGACAAUUUUCUUUUCUCUCUACAUGAAAAACGACUCGUUUCUAGUAGCAUUAAAUUAUGAUUUCAUUCCAUAUUUUUAAAAAAGUGGACAAACUCUUACAAGCUGACUUCAUAGGGCAAUAUCCCAAAAUAUAAGAAAAAACCAAAUGCCCAAAGUAUUGAGGCCUCAGUGAAUCAGUGUUGAGUCUAGGGAUGCUGAGCCUAACACGGCUGCCUUACAGCUGUCACUGUAACAACUACCAUUACAAGCUGCACUGCUUUGUUGGGUCUCUUUUUCUCACUCUCCAUUCAGUUCAGUUCACAUUAUG
rnacentral:lncRNA from 1 species